GACGAACGCUGGCGGCGUGCCUAAUACAUGCAAGUAGAACGCUGAAGGAGGAGCUUGCUUCUCUGGAUGAGUUGCGAACGGGUGAGUAACGCGUAGGUAACCCGCCUGGUAGCGGGGGAUAACUAUUGGAAACGAUAGCUAAUACCGCAUAAGAGUAGAUGUUGCAUGACAUUUGCUUAAAAGGUGCAAUUGCAUCACUACCAGAUGGACCUGCGUUGUAUUAGCUAGUUGGUGGGGUAACGGCUCACCAAGGCGACGAUACAUAGCCGACCUGAGAGGGUGAUCGGCCACACUGGGACUGAGACACGGCCCAGACUCCUACGGGAGGCAGCAGUAGGGAAUCUUCGGCAAUGGACGGAAGUCUGACCGAGCAACGCCGCGUGAGUGAAGAAGGUUUUCGGAUCGUAAAGCUCUGUUGUAAGAGAAGAACGAGUGUGAGAGUGGAAAGUUCACACUGUGACGGUAUCUUACCAGAAAGGGACGGCUAACUACGUG
rnacentral:rRNA from 1 species